AUGCGCGACCUCUACUGCGCGGGCAUGAAGGCCAACUGGAUCAUCCUCAUCCACCAAUUAGGUAGUCCGUGGCGUCUCGUGGAUAUCUACACCGAGCGAGAGAUCACCCUUCAAUCAUGGGUUACUGCCGCUAUCGAGCCUCGCGGCCCGCCGGACACUCCUGCCUACUACGCACGAGACACGUCAAGCUUUUGGCUCGACCUCUGUUUGCUGAAAGUUGUAAUCUGCGAAGUGCCCACACCAUCAGAAGACUACAUGGAUUACAAGCUCAUUGCCUUGUUCAACAUGGGAUUAGUCUAUCUGGAAUCCGGUCGCCAUACAUGGUUAUGGCUCAUCAUCAAUCCUGUUGAGACAACAUUUCUGUCUGAUGCUAUAUACCAUAUAACUGGAAUUAACCGAUGCAAGUCGAAGAAGGAUUGGCCGAUGCUGCCGGCUGGCGUCAAGUUCGAUCCCACGGAUCAGGAGCUGAUCGAGCACCUUGAGGCCAAAGUGAGUGCUGACAGCACGAGAUCUCACCCUCUCAUCAAUUUGUUCAUACCAACCAUCGACAGCGAGCACGACAUAUGCUACACCCAUCCUGAGAAACUUCCAGACGCAGACCUGCGCAACUCCAGGGCGUUCAAAAGGGGCACGCGUACGCGUUGCAAGAUACAGUCGGAGUGUGUCAUGCACGUGAUGUGGCACAAGACCGGCAAUACCUUGCCGGUGAUGGUCAACGGCCGGCAGACGAGCAGCAAAAAGGUUCUGGUGUUGCACACCAACAAGAACUUCGACCAGCAGAGGACCAACUGGGUGAUGCACCAGUACCACGUCGGGGACUUGGAGCAAGAGAAGUAG
rnacentral:rRNA from 1 species